UAGGGAAUCUUCCGCAAUGGACGAAAGUCUGACGGAGCAACGCCGCGUGAGUGAAGAAGGAUUUCGGUUCGUAAAACUCUGUUGUUAGGGAAGAAAAAAUGUAUAGUAACUAUAUACAAAAGAGACGGUACCUAACCAGAAGGCCACGGCUAACUACGUGCCAGCAGCCGCGGUAAUACGUAGGUGGCAAGCGUUGUCCGGAAUUAUUGGGCGUAAAGCGCGCGCAGGUGGUUUAGAAAGUCUGAUGUGAAAGCCCACGGCUCAACCGUGGAGGGUCAUUGGAAACUAAUAAACUUGAGUGCAGGAGAGAAAAGUGGAAUUCCUAGUGUAGCGGUGAAAUGCGUAGAGAUUAGGAGGAACACCGGUGGCGAAAGCGGCUUUUUGGCCUGCAACUGACACUGAGGCGCGAAAGCGUGGGGAGCAAACAGG
rnacentral:rRNA from 1 species